rnacentral:siRNA from 1 species
ACAACCGGUGCUUCUUCUCCCCC